GAUAAACGCUAGCGGGAGGCCUAACACAUGCAAGCCGAGCGGUAGAGAUUCUUCGGAAUCUUGAGAGCGGCGUACGGGUGCGGAACACGUGUGCAACCUGCCUUUAUCAGGGGGAUAGCCUUUCGAAAGGAAGAUUAAUACCCCAUAAUAUAUUUGAUGGCAUCAUUAGAUAUUGAAAGCUUUGGCGGAUAGAGAUGGGCACGCGCAAGAUUAGAUAGUUGGUGAGGUAACGGCUCACCAAGUCGAUGAUCUUUAGGGGGCCUGAGAGGGUGAUCCCCCACACUGGUACUGAGACACGGACCAGACUCCUACGGGAGGCAGCAGUGAGGAAUAUUGGACAAUGGGUUAGCGCCUGAUCCAGCCAUCCCGCGUGAAGGACGACGGCCCUAUGGGUUGUAAACUUCUUUUGUACAGGGAUAAACCUACUCUCGUGAGAGUAGCUGAAGGUACUGUACGAAUAAGCACCGGCUAACUCCGUG
rnacentral:rRNA from 1 species